rnacentral:rRNA from 1 species
AGAGUUUGAUCCUGGCUCAGGACGAACGCUGGCGGCGCGCCUAACACAUGCAAGUCGAACGAGCGAGAGAGAGCUUGCUUUCUUGAGCGAGUGGCGAACGGGUGAGUAACGCGUGAGGAACCUGCCUCAAAGAGGGGGACAACAGUUGGAAACGACUGCUAAUACCGCAUAAGCCCACGGCUCGGCAUCGAGCAGAGGGAAAAGGAGCAAUCCGCUUUGAGAUGGCCUCGCGUCCGAUUAGCUAGUUGGUGAGGUAACGGCCCACCAAGGCGACGAUCGGUAGCCGGACUGAGAGGUUGAACGGCCACAUUGGGACUGAGACACGGCCCAGACUCCUACGGGAGGCAGCAGUGGGGAAUAUUGCACAAUGGGGGAAACCCUGAUGCAGCGACGCCGCGUGGAGGAAGAAGGUCUUCGGAUUGUAAACUCCUGUUGUUGAGGAAGAUAAUGACGGUACUCAACAAGGAAGUGACGGCUAACUACGUGCCAGCAGCCGCGGUAAAACGUAGGUCACAAGCGUUGUCCGGAAUUACUGGGUGUAAAGGGAGCGCAGGCGGGAAGACAAGUUGGAAGUGAAAUCCAUGGGCUCAACCCAUGAACUGCUUUCAAAACUGUUUUUCUUGAGUAGUGCAGAGGUAGGCGGAAUUCCCGGUGUAGCGGUGGAAUGCGUAGAUAUCGGGAGGAACACCAGUGGCGAAGGCGGCCUACUGGGCACCAACUGACGCUGAGGCUCGAAAGUGUGGGUAGCAAACAGGAUUAGAUACCCUGGUAGUCCACACUGUAAACGAUGAUUACUAGGUGUUGGAGGAUUGACCCCUUCAGUGCCGCAGUUAACACAAUAAGUAAUCCACCUGGGGAGUACGACCGCAAGGUUGAAACUCAAAGGAAUUGACGGGGGCCCGCACAAGCAGUGGAGUAUGUGGUUUAAUUCGACGCAACGCGAAGAACCUUACCAAGUCUUGACAUCCUGCGACGCACAUAGAAAUAUGUGUUUCCUUCGGGACGCAGAGACAGGUGGUGCAUGGUUGUCGUCAGCUCGUGUCGUGAGAUGUUGGGUUAAGUCCCGCAACGAGCGCAACCCUUAUGGUCAGUUACUACGCAAGAGGACUCUGGCCAGACUGCCGUUGACAAAACGGAGGAAGGUGGAGAUGACGUCAAAUCAUCAUGCCCUUUAUGACUUGGGCUACACACGUACUACAAUGGCGUUAAACAAAGAGAAGCAAGACCGCGAGGUGGAGCAAAACUCAGAAACAACGUCCCAGUUCGGACUGCAGGCUGCAACUCGCCUGCACGAAGU